rnacentral:misc_RNA from 1 species
GAUGAAGAACGUAGCGAAAUGCGAUAAGUAGUGUGAAUUGCAGAAUUCAGUGAAUCAUCGAAUCUUUGAACGCACAUGGCGCCUUCCAGUAUCCUGGGAGGCAUGCCUGUCCGAGCGUCGUUUCAACCCUCGAGCCCCCGUGGCCCGGCGUUGGGGAUCUGCCCAGGCAGUCCCCGAAAACCAGUGGCGGACCCGUUACAGGCCCUUCCCUUGCGUAGUAGCAUUCGCCUCGCAUCGGGAGCCGGCGGGCUUCCAGCCUCUAAACCCCCAUCAAGUCCGCCCCGGCGGCACCAAGGUUGACCUCGGAUCAGGUAGGAAUACCCGCUGAACUUAAGCAUAUCAAUAAGCGGAGGA